rnacentral:lncRNA from 1 species
UGAGUGUCGCUUCUCGUGGAGUGUCCCACGGGCAUGUUGUUGCGGCAUCGACAUCAUGUGCUCCAUCCGUGACGGAGAGAUCAGUUCACGGCGUCCCUAGGUACAAGUAUGGUACAAAGCUACUAGGAGGCGUAUGGAUCGAUCCUAGGAUUUAAGUUAAGGAGGUGGAUACCGGGUAUGCCAACUCGCCAUCUCAUGUUCACAGGUUACUUCGGGCGGGGUAAAGAGAGAAGGAUAAAGCCUAGGACUAAAUCUGAAGAUGUUAGUUAAUCAAGUCGAAUGUGUUCGCUUGGAUAUUAACCUUAAGUUUAGUUGUCGU